rnacentral:lncRNA from 1 species
UAGAGUGUAUCAGUACAAAAGUUUGAUAAUGAGCAGGAGACGAUCCAUCUCUCUGACUGGAUCCCUCCUUUUAAAAAAAAAUUAUACUACAACAAGCUAGUACGACGUCUACAAUAUGAUCUGACUGGGCCUGGCCCUGGUCCUGCUGUGCAGACGUUGUUCUGCAGUUAAAGUGAGGGUCGCGUCCAUGCUUCUCCGAUUCAUCGUUUUCUUGGUCGAUCGAUCAGUCUCAGUCUCAGGUACACACACUCGCACAUAUAUGUAUAUAUCACGAUUCUUUGCUAAUCUCGAAGAGGAAAA